UGUUUCCGGAGUUCUUCCCCCAGGGAGUACCGGGCUGCUGCAACCACAGAGUGGGUGGUUCAAACCCACCAGCCGCUCCACAGGAGAAAGAUGAGGCUUUUUACUCCCACAAAGAGUGACCGUCUGGGAAGCCCACAGGGGGCCGUACUACCCUGUCCGACACGGUCGCUCGAGUCUGCAUGGGCUUGAUGGCAUUUGGGUUUUCUUGUCACCAUGUGGGCCUGCUGUGAGCUGGAACAAGCAUCACACUGAGGGAUUGGUGUGGCCUCCAUCAGCCUGGCUCGGCCCAGGCAUCUGCCCGCUCUGAGCAUCACUGUCCAGCCCCAGAGCUGCCCCUCAUGCCGGCUCUGGCUUCGGCCUCCUCAGACAGAGAAGGAAGUUCUUGUUGAGGUCUCCCCAGUGCCCAGGACAGGGCACCCAGAAGAUGCUCAGCCCACGUGUGAGAUGUUACUUGGACUCUGUCUCUUGAGACGACCCCAUGUAUGUUGCCAGCGACCACGGGGUGCUCCACACGGGCUGAGGGGCUGGCUUUCCUAACCAGAUCACCAGGCCUUUCUUCCAAGGUCCCUCAGGGUGGACUUCAACCUCCACUGCUCAGUCACGAGGGGGACAAAGUGCCCAAGCCAGUCAGCGGCCAGAGUGUGGGGCCUUUCCAAGCGGAGACAUCGGGCUGUCCAGGGAUCGGAGUGCCGAGGUCGGCGCCUGCUCUCCCCAGCCCACUGAAGACAAACCCCUGUGACAAGAACUUCAGCAUCCCGAUGGGCGUAAAGGGCACCCCGAAGUCCGGCCAGCUGGUGAAGUGCAGCUGAGAGACCAGCCGGGGAGCCUUGCA